CCUCCUCCUCCUCCUCCUCCUCCUCCUCUGUGUCAAGAGCUGUCACACGUGGGCCUUCGCCAGCUCCGACUGACACUCCUCACAACGCAGCUUCCACCGGACGGACGGUCUGUGUGCAGCGGCCAUGGCCCACCCCUCGGUGACCACAUCCGCCGUAAGCAGCCGGAGAUGAAACGAUAUGGAGAUUAUCAGGACAGAAAGCCUCCCAGCUUGUCACGGGAUGCAGAGCGUAUUGUACAUCCACAUGUAUUGAACACAAACCUGUCACCGUCUGUGACAGCCCCAUUCAUCACACACAAAGCCAAUCCUGUCAGCGGCACAAUGCGCUCCAUCCGUCCCUCCUCCC